CGUUCUGCCCAGCAGUUGGAGAAACAUAACUGCGAUGACCAGGCUGGCCCCUCCAACUUCAGCACUCAGGACCAGGCUAGCCCCUCCAACGUCAGCACUAAGGACAAGUCCUCUUGGAGCCGUAAAGCUGGAAAAGCCUGGUCCAAAUUCCAGAAGAAAUUCUCCAGAAAAAGAUCAAAGUGAUGCAACCAGGACUAAGAGGCCUACGAUCUUACUUAAUGGAUGACACCCUCACGUCCUAAAGCCCCUUCCAUCCUCCGUGCCCCCCCACCCCAUUACACCCUAUUAAAUGGCAUUUCAAAUGUA